rnacentral:rRNA from 1 species
GACAGAGGUGCCGAGCGUUGGGCGGAAUCACUGGGCUUAAAGCGUGUGUAGGCGGGCGGGCAAGUACCUUGUGAAAUCCCACGGCUCAACCGUGGAACGGCUGGGUAUACUGCCUGUCUUGAGCCAGCUAGGGGCGAGCGGAACAGACGGUGGAGCGGUGAAAUGCGUAGAUAUCGUCUGGAACGCCGAAGGUGAAAACAGCUCGCUGGGGCUGAUGCUGACGCUGAGACACGAAAGCCAGGGGAGCGAACGGG